UUGAUCCCUGGCUCAGGACGAACGCUGGCGGCAUGCCUAAUACAUGCAAGUCGAGCGGAUGAUGAAGAAGCUUGCUUCUUCUGAUUUAGCGGCGGACGGGUGAGUAACACGUGGGCAACCUGCCCUGUAGAUUGGGAUAACUCCGGGAAACCGGGGCUAAUACCGAAUAAUCCAUUUCCUCACAUGGGGAAAUGUUAAAAGACGGUUUCGGCUGUCACUACAGGAUGGGCCCGCGGCGCAUUAGCUAGUUGGUAAGGUAACGGCUUACCAAGGCGACGAUGCGUAGCCGACCUGAGAGGGUGAUCGGCCACACUGGGACUGAGACACGGCCCAGACUCCUACGGGAGGCAGCAGUAGGGAAUCUUCCACAAUGGACGAAAGUCUGAUGGAGCAAUGCCGCGUGAGUGAAGAAGGUUUUCGGAUCGUAAAACUCUGUUGUAAGGGAAGAACAAGUACGAGAGUAACUGCUCGUACCUUGACCGGUACCUUAUUAGAAAGCCACGGCUA
rnacentral:rRNA from 1 species